UCAAUUUCACUGUAUAAAUAUCAGUGCUAAAGCUAGAAAAGUCAAUCUUAAUUGGCCUUUCAGUCAAGAAGCUUCAAGUUACAUUCGAAAUCGUCAAGAUGAAAUUCUCCAUCCUCUUUGCACUUGUCGCUGUUGUUAUUGCAGCUCUUUUGGGAACAGUAGCGGCGAAAGAUGAAAAAGUGAAGGUGAAUAUGGAGGGAAGACGUAUUAUAAAUGCUCAUUCAAACUGUCCUGAAGGACAAGUCGCUGACAGCAGAGGCAAUUGCAGAGAAAUCUACUAACUUUGAUAAAAUCUGGUUCAAUAUGUCAAAUCUCAAAUCUUGUUACUAACUCGUUGAAAUAAAUUGAUUGCAUCUCA